GACGUAGGGGGCGAGCGUUGUCCGGAUUUAUUGGGCGUAAAGCGUGCGUAGGCGGCUGCGCAAGUCGGGUGUGAAACCCCGGGGCUCAACCCCGGAACUGCAUCCGAUACUGCGUGGCUAGAGUAUGGGAGAGGAAAGCGGAAUUUCUGGUGUAGCAGUGAAAUGCGUAGAUAUCAGAAGGAACAUCAGUGGCGAAGGCGGCUUUCUGGACCAAUACUGACGAUCAGGUGCGAAAGCGUGGGGAGCAAACAGG
rnacentral:rRNA from 1 species